UGGGGAAUAUUGGACAAUGGGGGCAACCCUGAUCCAGCAAUGCCGCGUGUGUGAAGAAGGUCUUCGGAUUGUAAAGCACUUUCGACGGGGACGAUGAUGACGGUACCCGUAGAAGAAGCCCCGGCUAACUUCGUGCCAGCAGCCGCGGUAAUACGAAGGGGGCUAGCGUUGCUCGGAAUGACUGGGCGUAAAGGGCGUGUAGGCGGUUUACACAGUCAGACGUGAAAUCCCCGGGCUUAACCUGGGAACUGCAUUUGAUACGUGUAGACUAGAGUGUGAGAGAGGGUUGUGGAAUUCCCAGUGUAGAGGUGAAAUUCGUAGAUAUUGG
rnacentral:rRNA from 1 species